UGGGGAAUUUUCCGCAAUGGGCGAAAGCCUGACGGAGCAAUACCGCGUGAGGGAGGAAGGCUCUUGGGUUGUAAACCUCUUUUCUCAGGGAAGAAUCCUGACGGUACCUGAGGAAUCAGCAUCGGCUAACUCCGUGCCAGCAGCCGCGGUAAUACGGAGGAUGCAAGCGUUAUCCGGAAUGAUUGGGCGUAAAGCGUCCGCAGGUGGCUAAUCAAGUCUGCUGUUAAAGACGGAAGCUUAACUUCUGAAAAGCAGUGGAAACUGGUAAGCUAGAGUACGGUAGGGGUUGAGGGAAUUCCCAGUGUAGCGGUGAAAUGCGUAGAUAUUGGGAAGAACACCAGUGGCGAAGGCGCUCAACUGGGCCGUAACUGACACUCAGGGACGAAAGCUAGGGUAGCGAAAGGGAUUAGAUACCCCUGUAGUCC
rnacentral:rRNA from 1 species